rnacentral:sRNA from 1 species
GACUGAAGCAGGGGCGGAGACGCAAGAUGGCGGCUGUGGUGCUGGCGGCGACGCGGUUGCUGCGGGGCUCGGGUUCUUGGGGCUGUUCGCGGCUGAGGUUUGGACCUCCUGCGUACAGACGGUUUAGUAGUGGUGGUGCCUAUCCCAACAUCCCCCUCUCUUCUCCUUUACCUGGAGUACCCAAACCUGUUUUUGCUACAGUUGAUGGACAGGAAAAGUUUGAAACCAAAGUGACCACAUUGGAUAAUGGGCUUCGCGUGGCAUCUCAGAAUAAGUUUGGACAGUUUUGUACAGUAGGAAUUCUCAUCAAUUCAGGAUCGAGAUAUGAAGCGAAAUACCUUAGUGGAAUUGCUCACUUUUUGGAAAAAUUGGCAUUUUCGGUCAGUGCCCAGUUUUGUAAUUUUUUAGACUAUACUU